rnacentral:rRNA from 1 species
UACGGAGGGUGCAAGCGUUAUCCGGAUUCACUGGGUUUAAAGGGUGCGUAGGAGGGCAGGUAAGUCAGUGGUGAAAUCUCUGAGCUUAACUUGGAAACUGCCGUUGAUACUAUCUGUCUUGAAUAUUGUGGAGGUGAGCGGAAUAUGUCAUGUAGCGGUGAAAUGCUUAGAUAUGACAUAGAACACCAAUUGCGAAGGCAGCUCGCUACACAUAUAUUGACUCUGAGGCACGAAAGCGUGGGGAUCAAACAGG